rnacentral:rRNA from 1 species
GUGGGGAAUAUUGGACAAUGGGCGAAAGCCUGAUCCAGCCAUGCCGCGUGUGUGAAGAAGGUCUUCGGAUUGUAAAGCACUUUAAGUUGGGAGGAAGGGCAGUAAGUUAAUACCUUGCUGUUUUGACGUUACCGACAGAAUAAGCACCGGCUAACUUCGUGCCAGCAGCCGCGGUAAUACGAAGGGUGCAAGCGUUAAUCGGAAUUACUGGGCGUAAAGCGCGUGUAGGUGGUUUUGUAAGUUGGAGGUGAAAUCCCCGGGCUCAACCUGGGAACUGCCUCCAAAACUGCAUGACUAGAGUACGGUAGAGGGUAGUGGAAUUUCCUGUGUAGCGGUGAAAUGCGUAGAUAUAGGAAGGAACACCAGUGGCGAAGGCGACUACCUGGACUGAUACUGACACUGAGGUGCGAAAGCGUGGGGAGCAAACAGGAUUAGAUACCCGUGUAGUCC